rnacentral:rRNA from 1 species
GAACGGGGAAUUGGCUUAUUGCACCACAUGUGUUUUUCUUUGAAACAAACUUGCUUUGGCGGUGGGCCCAGCCUGCCGCCAGAGGUCUAAACUUACAACCAAUUUUUUAUCAACUUGUCACACCAGAUUAUUACUUAAUAGUCAAAACUUUCAACAACGGAUCUCUUGGUUCUCGCAUCGAUGAAGAACGCAGCGAAAUGCGAUACGUAAUAUGAAUUGCAGAUAUUCGUGAAUCAUCGAAUCUUUGAACGCACAUUGCGCCCUCUGGUAUUCCGGAGGGCAUGCCUGUUUGAGCGUCGUUUCUCCCUCAAACCGCUGGGUUUGGUGUUGAGCAAUACGACUUGGGUUUGCUUGAAAGACGGUAGUGGUAAGGCGGGAUCGCUUUGACAAUGGCUUAGGUCUAACCAAAAACAUUGCUUGCGGCGGUAACGUCCACCACGUAUAUCUUCAAACUUUGACCUCAAAUCAGGUAGGACUACCCGCUGAACUUAAGCAUAUCAAUAAGCGGAGGAA